rnacentral:lncRNA from 1 species
UGGACUAAUCACCUGUGUAUCUCAACAUAAACACUUAUUAGUCCAUAUAAGUUGUCAAUCAAUUACCAAAACCAAACAGGGUCUCACACCUAAGACCGUAGACUGUGUCUUCCUGGGUUAUGCACAUAACAGUGCAGCUUAUAGAUUUCUAGUGGUCCAUUCCGAGACAAGUGAAGUUGCUAUAAAUGUAAUAAUGGAGUCUCGAGAUGUGACAUUCUUUGAGAGCAUCUUCCCUAUGCGGGAUAAGGAAGUAGUAGCCCCAGAUGGUCCAUCUCGGACAUAUUCUCUGCCCUCGAGUGUCAAUGACCAGACUCCAGAUUUGGAGUUAAGGAGGAGUAAGAGACAAAGGAUUGAAAAGUCUCUGGGUGAUGAUUAUAUUAUCUAUCUAGUGGAUGAAGAACCACGCUCCCUCACAGAGGCAUAUACAUCUCCGGAUGCAGAGUACUGGAGGGAGGCUGUCCGUAGCGAGAUGCAAUCAUCUCGAACGGAACUUGGGAGAUAACUGAUCUCCCAGCUGGUUGCAAGCCUGUGGGCUGUAAAUGGAUCUUUAGGAGGAAGAGGAGACCCGAUGGUACUAUUGAAAAGUACAAGGCCCGUCUUGUGGCUAAGGGUUUUACUCAAAAGAAAGAGGAGGAUUAUUUUGAUACUUAUUCUCCGGUGGCUCGAUUGCCCACAAUCCGUGUGCUUUUAGCACUGGCAGCUGCUUAUAAACUUCUUGUCCAUCAAAUGGAUGUAAAGACAGCAUUCCUAAAUGGAGAGCUGGAAGAGGAAAUUUAUAUGCAGCAACCAGAAGGAUUUGUGGUUAAAGGUCAAGAGAGCAAAGUGUGUCGCUUGAUUAAAUCCUUAUACGGUCUUAAGCAAGCUCCCAGACAAUGGCAUGAGAAGUUUAAUAAUACUCUGACCACUGCCGGGUUUUGUGUAAACGAAGCCGACAAGUGUGUGUAUUAUCGCUUCUCUGGGGGCAAAGGUGUCAUCAUGUGUUUAUACGUUGAUGACAUAUUGAUAUUUGGGACCGAUUUGGAGGCUAUCAUGGAGACAAAACUAUUCCUCUCCCAGAACUUUGAUAUGAAGGACUUGGGUGAAGCUGAUGUUAUACUGAACAUCAAGCUGAUAAAGGGUGAGGAUGGGAUUACUUUGUCACAAUCCCAUUAUGUGGAAAAGGUUCUGACUCGCUUUGGACAUAUGGACUGUAAACCAGUCACCACGCCCUAUGAUCCAUCCUACACGCUCAGUAAAUAUGAAGGCGAGCCUGUGAACCAGCUACUAUAUUCACAGAUCAUCGGAUCUCUCAUGUACCUGAGCAGUGCAACUAGACCAGAUAUCUCAUAUGCAGUAUGCAGACUGGCUCGUUAUUCGGCCAGUCCAGGAGAUAGACACUGGGUAGCCUUGCACAGAGUGCUUCGGUAUUUGAAGGGAGCGAUGAAUCUUGGUAUUAAAUAUACCGGAUUUCCGUCAGUACUUGAAGGAUUCAGUGAUGCAAACUGGAUCUCUGACUCAGAUCAAAUGAAGUCUACAAGUGGCUAUGUGUUCACUUUAGUUGGUGGGGCCGUGUCAUGGAGAUCGUCUAAACAAUCAGUGUCGACACGUUCCACCAAGGAGGCUGAAUUAGUUGCACUUGAUUCAGCAGCAUUGGAGGCUGAAUGGUUGAGAGACCUGUUGUCAGACCUUCCAAUGCUAGCAAAGCCGAUACCGGCUGUCUUAGUAUACUGUGACAACACUUCUGUGUUGCUAAAAGUGAACAGUAGAAAGGACAACCAAAAAUCCUCGAGGCAUAUCAGAAGACGACUUGAUUCAUGUCGGCAUGCUAGAGAGACGGGUAUAAUAACCGUAGAUUACAUCAAGUCUGAAAGGAACCUUGCUGAUCCUUUCACCAAAGGGCUGGCUCAAAAGCCAAUCCAAGCAGCGUGCAUGGGAAUGGGACUCGUACCCUGUUAGCGGUUUCAACUGCGGAUAACUGUCCUGUGUGACCGGAGGUCCCGAGAUCCAGGCUCCAGGAAACGAAGCACUGUGGAACCAAGAGCACAAACGAUAAAGAGUCUUAUGAGCUGCUGUGCUCUGUCUGUAUGGCAGGUUGAGCGAUAUGCUCUUAAUGAAGUCAAUGCUAUAAGCAGGGAAAUUGUCCUACAGAAUUUCCUUAACGAUUUCACCUAUAUGAGCUGACUGUGGGGUCGCAGUCCGGGAGAGAAUGGGGUUUUCUCUCUAGUGAGUUCAUGAAUAGAUAUUAAAGGGCAUGACCGUAACGCCCUGCCCCGUAAGAGAAGCAGAUAAUCUGCCUAGUACUAUGUGCCUUUUGUGCGAAGAUUCUCACACUAGGGUUUGUGGAUCAAGGCGUAGUCCUCCGCUUACUCGUGCUGGGUUGGAGUACACUGGGAUAGGCUUUGGUUCAAACCUAACAAGUACCUCUGCCAAAAAGUAGUAUAUAAACAGUACGGGAGCUCAAUGACAUUGAUCAGAAAUAACAGUGAAAAUGGUGGGGAUUGCUGUUCAUUUGAAGGGAUUUUCCCUUUAUUUUCUUUAUUGAAAAUAUGAGAAAUGAAAUUAAAAAAAAAGGAGAAAUGGCCACCCGCUGGGCCGCUACCAGGCCGGUUGGGCCGAGCAGCCCAGCAGGGCAGCCGGCUGGUAACAAAAGGUAGGGCACGUCGUGCCUUACGCAGGGGCAGGAGGCAAGCGGCCAGGGGGCCUGUGGCGGCGGCAGCUUGUGCUGUUCCGAUCUGGGCGGCGUAUCCUGUCGGAGCUCUCGCGAUAUGGUUGCUGCUCCUCCUCUCGGCUCCAUAUAUGGAGGCUUGUUCCCCUGGCUGGCUCUCCACGGGAGAGAAGCUGGUUCUCUGUUCUUCUCCCACUCACUGUUUCAAUCGCAACUCGCUCGAUCCACUGCUCCACCAGUGGCUGCUCCACGGAGGUUGUGCUGCUCGUGCGCAGUGAGGCUCUCCGGUGCUCUAUUGCUUCACCAGUGCGCGUGUGUGCUGUGGUUGAUUCUCUGGUCUCUGUCCACCGUGGCCUGGUGCUUGGGCUCCCUGCUGCGCGGUGUUCCUCUUCUCGGACCGGUGCCGUGGACGUCUCCCUCGGCUCCGGCAGCGGCUCUAGUAUCUCCGUCAACCUCCCGCCGUGCAGGUCCGGACGUGGGCGGCGGAUUGGUUUUCUGGGACAGAACCUCGUGUUCGCUGAGCUGGUCUUCCCACGUAGACAAUCUACGUGCUGUGAGUUACCCGUUGCCUCUCAUUAUUUAUUGAGUAAUUUUGUGCAAUCUGCUAGUAUUAUUUACUUGGGUGUGAUUGCACAAUUUGUGGGCGGAUUUGAUUGCUCGAUGAUGAUAGCGGUGUAGUGAGACGACGUGACAGUCUGGGUUUUAGUGUGUUGUUAUUUUCAGCAUUGAUAUUAUUUGUGCCUAGUUAUUUCUUACUAUUGUGCAAGCUGAUUAUUUAAGUUCAUUAUUGUUCCUUAAUUCUUAUGCACACUGUUUUGAUCUUAAUAUUCAUGCUUGAUUUCUAGGCUCAUAAUAUUUGUUCUAAAACCAUGUUUUGGUAAGAUAGGACUGUCACGUUAGUCGAGGAUCUUUGAUCACCCUUUAGCGUUGGAGGGCUGUCUUGCGCAGCAACCCGCUAUUUUGAGAGCAAUACUUUAAGAUAAACAAUUAUGUUUAUUUGUUUAAUCUGCCUUCUUCAUCUGCAAGCCAUGUUUAAUUUUCAAAUGGACCUGUGUAGCUAUUUUACAUGUUUACAUGCUUAGAAUUGCUACUGUUCAUUGCUGCUAUAAUUACAUAUGGCAUUUGUCUGAGUUAUAUGCUUGUUUUAUUCGGAAUUAGAAUAUUUAAUCUAUUUAAAUAUGUAGAAAGCAUGUCACUUAUUUCUCUAAAUUUACAACAGGCCCUUGCAGGGGAUCUUUGGCUUGGUAGAGUCCUAAGUCAAGCAUAUUCUGGCCGGGCUCCUUUUUUUUAAAACUAGAAUAAUGUUCAUCUAAGCGAGAUUAAUUAAUCGUAUCAUUGCUCAAUCUUGUUCAUCCUUUUGAAGUGUGACUUUGCACAAGCUUGCAAAUUCGGUUUUAAUUAAUCUAGCAUUCACGCCGAUGUUAUAUGUGCCAAAUUAAGCACAUAUAACCACCACUUGGAAUACUUCAAACAACAGUUGAAAGUCUACUUUUUACAAGAAAAUCAUCAUGCCACUGAGUUGAAAUUCAACCGUGUAUAUAUAUAUAUAAGAAAGGGUUUGAUUUGGUAAACACUAUCGAGUGAAAAAAUAUUUUUGUUUUAUAGAAAGGCAUCCACAAAAAGAAAAAGAAAAAACGACAUAGAUGCCUUGUUCAGUCACAGCAGCAUGGCGCUAAGGCGGCGAUGACGUACACGAUAAACACGAAUGGUAUCUGCAGGGACUAGCUAAACUAAAUGUCGAAAUCAUAUAUCAGUCUAGGAUCAGUAAGUGGUACACUGGUACUGUAGUAGGUAAGCGGUAAGCGACAUGUUGAUAAUUUUCUCCCUCAAGGCUAGUUUAGUGACCAAAGAAAUACAUGGGAUCUAUAGGCGAGAAAUCUGCAAAAGAAUUUUUCCAUAGAUAUCCUAUAUUUUCCAAAUCACCAAAUCAGCCUAAAAAAGAGAGAGAACGCACUGUUCAGAAGUGUGUACGGUGUAAUAUACAACCACGCGCAUCCAUUAUUAUCUUCAUCGAAAUCUUGGAGAAGCAAAUUAAUAUUCAUCCAGAAAGAAAAAAAAUUGAAAUGACAACUGACAACAGAGGGGGCGGGCUACCUCUAGAGACUCGGCAUCAUCAGGCAGGCACGCAGCAACUUGCAGACUAGGGAGGAGAUAAGCAAGGACGAUGGAGAUUUUGGAUGGCUUUUCGUUUGUCGGUACAGCACCGGCAACUUGACGCUCCGGGCUCCACGCCAAAAGCAGGGGCGCGGCGUGCAGCUUGCAAUUGCAUUGGGCCUCCAUAUCAAGUGGACAAGUUCUUCAUACGGCGUCGGGCGCAUGGCCCCAACCCCAAGCGGGCCAGGGACAACGUCGGCCGCCGCAUUUCUCUUGAUUCUUCGUUGGCUCGCGUUUCCAAGCUGGUUGUCAGGCUCUUCCUACGCUGUGUUCGAUCGGACGCCACUCGUUUUCGUCCCUCCUCAGGUAGCUCACCUUGUAUCUCCGUGCGACAUGGGCAGAGACGCGGCCGGGCAUGUCUAUCCGGGCAAGGAUCUCUGUAGCAGCCGGCGGCUGCGCACGCACACGCACGUGUAGUGGGCGCGUGUGUG